AAAUGGCACGUGAGCAAAGGAUAUCAAGAAGCUUUUGGAUGUUGGGAAGCUUGGAGCUGAUGCUUCAAAUAAGCUGAUGGUUGUCUUUUGGAGAUGUUUCUAUGUUUAAUGCUUUAAAGUCUUUUGGCUGUACUGGACUAUUUAAACUUUGAACUAUGCUGUGAUGGUUGAACUGAUGCUGGACGGUUAAGGGUUUAUGUCAGAGGCAACUUUAUAACUAAUGUGUGCCUGUUAUGUUGGACUGUUAAGGGUUAUGUUGGAGGCAAUUUUAUAACUAAUGUGUGUCUGUUAUGUUGGAUUGUUAACUGUUAUGUUGGAGGCAACAUUAUAGCUAACGUGUGCCUGUUAUGUUGGGCAGAUUCAAUUUUCUUAAUCCCUAGAGCUUAUUUGCUAAAGUUUAUAAGAUCUCUCCUGAUGGUUGUUGUGCUGAUAUGUUUUGCUCUAUUUUAUUUAAAGUUUUGUUCAAAUUUCGGCCGAAUUUCGGCCAAAUUUCGGUUAAAUUUUGGCCAAAUUUUCAAAUUUUGAUUUUGCAAUUUCGUCCGAGAUUUUGCUGAAUUUUUUGAAAUUCCCGAAAUUCGGCCAUUUCGGCCAAGGACGAAAAAAAACACAAACCGAAAAGGUAAAAAAUUAUAGUCCAUAUUAUUAUGGACUUUUCACUUGAUAAUAAGCCCGGACGACAUAAACCGAAUAACAUGGCCGCUGGACAAUCUUAAGCCACGAAGAACUGACCCUUUAUUACCCACAUUCGCAAACGUUUAAGAUACCAACAUGCGAUGCGUGUGUAAUGCACCCAUGAUGAUCAGUUAUAAGCAACUCUUGGGGACGAACCCGACCUUGCCUCCUCGCAGGUCGUAAACCACCUCCGUCGUCGCCUGAGCCAAGGAGCCGAUAACCGUGAUGCCCCGUGCGUGCGCCGGCACCGGCGCGUACGCGAGGCACCCCACGGAGAAGAUGUUACCGCGGUCCUUGAAGUACAUCGUCUGCUGGACGCCGGGCUCCAGGCCCGCACCGCCCUCGAAGGUGAGCUUGACCGCCGGCACCCCGACGCUGCUCUGGCCGGUGAAAUUGUAGCACGUGUCGAGCUCGCCGUACGGCGGCGCCACAGGGUACUGCCCCAUCCACCCCCUGAACUGAUCGCGGAGGGCCGCGUAGACCUCCGGCUGCAGGUAGGUGAACGUCGUGUGCAGCUCCAUCAGCGCGUCGCCGGCGAGUGCCGGAGGCGGAACCGGGAUGUCCUGCCCGGCGACGCUCACGCCGACGAGCCGGAGGAAGUACAGGUUCGGGUGGGAGGCUUUGCUCUUUAGGGUGGCGUAGCUCACUAUGUUCGGGCGCUUGGCGCCGAAAGAGAGGAAGCCCGCCGAGUAGGGGAAGGCCGAGGGCAGGCAGUAGGAGAAGGCGACCGUGUCCGGCGACAGAACGACCCGCGACGCCAGCGAGUGGGGGUCCCGGCUGAGGUCGAGGACUCCCGACGAGCGGCCCUCCGUGCUGGCGCCGCGCAUCUCCACGCAGACGAACCUGAAGUCGUCCACGGCGACCGACCGCGAGACCGUGAGUGUGUCGGUGACGAAGGUGGCGUUGAGCACGACGGCGCCCUUCUUUGUCAGGGUUGCCGUGCAGCUGGGUCCGGAGCAGUCGCUCAGCGGGCAGUUUCUCGAGCCACACGGGAUCUGGGCGAGGGAAGACGACCGGGACGGGUCGAAGAGGUGCUUCUUGCCGCACCGCCCCCCGGUGCAUGGCUCGCACCGGAGGAGCGUGGCUCCCACGGUGGCCGUGUCGAAUCCCACGGUGAGUCUCUGCACCGGGGUGCCGUAGCCGACGGUGACGUGGUACUCUGAUGCGCCCGGAAGAGACUGGAGUGGGGUUCCGAUCGAGGGGAUCGUCACCCCGGACUUUUUAUAGUCGCCUGAAUCGCCGAAGAGGGCGCGCAGGCGGAGGGCGUCGCCGAUCGAGGGCAUGCUUUGGCCCGAACGGGCACCGGCGCCAGAAGCAGGAGCGCACGGGCUAAGCCGAUGCAUUACCGGCAGCCAUCCUCCAUCUCCUGAAAAAUGACCACAAGUUCAUUAGCAUGAGAGGUAUUGGCUCUGAAUUAAAUUGAUGCAAGACACUUCACCAGAAGGGACGGGCGAGCAGGUCGACGGACUCCUCGGAUCGGAUGAGAGGACAACAAAGUGCUUUCCACCAUUGGAGUAGCUGGUGUGGUAAGAGCUGCCAAGGUGAGCAGCAGCAAGAAUCAGACAGAAAAGCAGAGAGGGAAUGGCGGAAGCCAUUGCUUGUUGUGCUAUGUAAUGGUGGUGCAGUUGCAUGGUACCUCGUAGGAACCUGCCCUAUAUAUAGCCGUGACAUCCAGCUAGGUUGCCAGCGUUUGAAACUGUCAUCUCUCCUCCUACGACGCCCGACGACGGGGAUCAGUCUUUUGUCGUGUGUUCUCCUAUGACGAUCGGCCCAAAGCCAGGUACAUACAAGCGCUAAUGCCUGCGGAAAUAGAUAGGGAUUUACGCCCAUCCUUCCAACAUGGGAGGAGAAUUAAUUAUGCACAGCUAGCUACUAGCCGGAAGAAUCAGCGACCAAGUUAUCCAUAUCAAUAGCUUCAUUGCUAGCUGUUAGAGCAUCUUCAACAGGCGCGCUAUCUUAGCCGUGCGCUAGAAAAAGCUGUUUUUUCUGUGCACGCGGAGUCGAAACGGGCGCUCCAGUAGCCACGCAAUAAUCACGCGCGCGGUAUAAUGGGUUCAGCGCGCGGAGGAAAAUGGCAUCACACGCUGCUUAUUUCGUGCAACGACGACUCGCGCGUGACUUCACCAACCGCCAGACCUCCAGGCGCUGUUUUAGGAUGAACAUCGAGUUGUUCAAACACAUUGCAGAGAAACUGGCGAGCCAUGAUCGGUUUUUUCAGUAGAGGAGGAAUGCCGCCGGAGAACUCGGGCAUAGUACCUUUCAAAAGGUGACAGCCGCUUUGCGUACGUUGGCAUACGGUAUUCCGGCGGGUCUAGUUGAUGAUCACUAGGCCAUAGGUGAGAGUCAAGCCAUCAUGUGUGUCAAGCGUUUCGUAGUCAGAAUUAUGCAAGUGUUUGGUCUGGAAUAUUAGAGAGCUUCCGAUGCUGAAGACACUGCAAGGCUUUUGGAGAUGAACAAAGCACGCAGGUUUCCAAGUAUGCUUGGCUCAAUAGAUUGCAUGCAUAUGGACAAUUCCACGGCAUGAUAUGGACAAUUCCACGGCCAGAAAAAGGGUUCCUCUAUAAUCCUUGAAGCAGUGGCCGAUUAGGAGACUUGAAUUUGGCAUGUGUUUUUUUUGAAUGCCUGGAUCUUUGAAUGACAUCAACGUCCUUAAUCGAUCACCACUCAUGUAUAAGAUUGCAAAUGGUGAAACUACACCGGUGGAGUUUGUAGCAAAUGACCAUACAUAUAACUAUGGCUACUAUUUUACGGAUGACAUCUACCCAAAGUGGCAAACAUUUGUGAAGCCAUUGAAAAAAAGGAAGGUAAGAAAAAUCUUGAUUUCCACAAUGCUCAGGUGGCGGCUAGGAAAGAUGUGGAGAGCGCUUUCAGGAUUUUGCAAGCCUAAUUUGCUAUUGUGAGAAAACCGGCUAGAUUUUGGGAUCAAAAAAUCAUUUGGUACAUCAUGAACGCUUAUGUGAUCAUGCAUAACAUGAUCAUCUGGAAUGAGUGUGGGCAAGAUAUAGACUAUUCUCAGUAUGAGUUAUUGGGACGUCUCGUGCGAGUGCGGAGGAGGGCUGUGAGGGUGGCCCGAUUUAUUGCCUCCUAUAAUUCCAUUCGACGUGCCGAAACGCAUGAUGAUCUUCUGUAGAAUCUAAUCGAGGAGUGGUGGGCAUGGAAUGGGCGACAAAACUAGUUUGUUGUUGUAUGUUUGAUGUUGUAUUGUUGAACUAUUUGUUGUAUUGGAAUAUAAACUAUUUGUUUGAGUUGUAAUAAUAAUUAAACUAUUUAUUGUUGAUUUUUUUUGUGUUUGAUCUUUUUGGUUUAGUGAGAAAUGUAGUUUGUGCUGGGCGCACUGUAAAUUUAGCGCGCCUGCUGGAGCUAUAGUAAGUAAUGUAAACACUCCUACUCGAAUAUGUUCCGGAGUGUUAGACUCUGCCCUAUUUAACCAUGCCCCGAAAAGACUCGAUAUAGAGGUGAAGGACUGCACCGAGUGAAACACGAAUAGUACGCCAUAGCUCAAAACAGGCUCGCGUCCCGUACACCAGAGUAACCUGGCUAGCGGGCAUGUCAGAAAUAAAUGUUGUAUCUGAAAGUGCGUUAUAUCGACUAGAGGGGGGGGGGUGAAUAGGCGAUUUUUAUGAAUUCUUCACCGAGGAAUUUGCUGGUGAGGAAAUUCCUAACUGAAGAACUACUAGCAGCGGAAUAAGUACUCAGAAGUAAACAUAACAGAAUACAAGCAUAGUCAUCAUGGCGAGAUGAAGACAAACAUAGAGUACAGAAAGCAUAAACACAGGAUAACACAAGAAAGAAGACGGACAGACUAAAAAAAUUGAACUGAGGAAAUUGAGAAAGUAUUCAGUCAAAGUCUUCAAACAGAUAUGAACAGGUACACAACAACAGACAUGAGGAAAUGAAAGAGUUGAGGAAAUAGAACCAGGAGGCUUGGUGAAGACAAUGAUUUGGUAGACCAGUUCCAACUGCUGUCUCAGUUGUACAUCUGGUUGGAGCGGCUGAGUAUUUAAACUCGAGGACACCCAGUCCCGGACACACAGUCCUCACCGUAUUAUCCUUGAGCUAAGGUCACACAGACCUUGCCCAAUCACUCGUGGUAAGUCUUCAGGUGACUUUCGAACCUUCACAAACGCGGUCACUCGGGGAUCCACAAUUCCUCUUGGAUGCUCUAGACCUUGACGCCUAACCGUCUGGAAGAAGCACAAUCUUCAAAGGUAACAAGCAUCGGAUCCACGCAGGAUCAAUCUCUUCAGUGAUGCUUAAUCACUUUGGGUUUGUAGGUGUUGGGUUUUGGGUUUUCCUCACUUGAUGAUUUUCGCUCAAAGUCCUCGGAGGUUGAGAUGCUCUCAAUUGACAAGUGUCAGUUUCUCUUGGAGCAGCCAACCAGCUAGUGGUUGUAGGGGCGGCUAUUUAUAGCCUCGGGAGCAGCCCGACAUGAUAAGACAUAAAUGCCCUUGUCUGAUAUGACCGUUAGGUGGGUAGAUAUUUUGGGACAGCUGGCGCAUAGCACAACAACGGUCGGAAUUUUGGCUAUCAAAGUCCUCAGGGCUAUCAUGUUCCUCACUAUGUAGGCAAUUCACACUGGUGAAUUCCUAACUCCUCAGUCAGAACAAAUUCCUCAGAGACUAGAAGAACUUCGUCUCUCUCACUGAAGAAUAUGACUGAACUGUAUGAGAUUUCCAAUGGCUUCACUCGAAGGGAUUGGUAGGUGUAGGAUUUUGAGUUGAGCAUCACAUGGAAAUUUUUCCUUAGUAUUUCGUCAACCCCCUUUAACAGUACGGUUUUUCCUAUGACUCGAGAAAUAGAAAAUGAAACUACGAAGACAAAAGUCUUCACGCUUCAUAUUCCUCGGAUGAAUACCAAGUCUUCAAGGUCACACCAAUUUCUUCACUUUCAAAGUCUUCAGAUAUCCAAAGUCUUCAGACGAAGAACUUCAUUUUUAGGGGUCGACUUUCUCUGUAAAUAUCAAACUCCUCAUAGACUUAUAGACUUGUGUACAGUCACAAACGCAUCAGUCCCUUAACCUAUAAGUCUUCAAUACACCAAAAUCACUAAGGGGCACUAGAUGCACUUACAAUCUCCCCCUUUUUGGUGAUUGAUGACAAUAUAGGUUAAGUUUUCAACGGGGAUAAACAUAUGAAGUGUAAAUACUGAUAUUGAGGAAUUUGAUUGCAAGAUAUAGAAGAACUCCCCCUGAAGAUGUGCAUAGUGAGGAAUUUGCUUUUGAAGCGAUGCACACUUAAAGAGUAUAAUCAUGGAGAUCUCCCCCUAUAUCUUGUAAUUCAUACACGCAUUUGAUAUAUAAUGUGAAGAAUUUGAAAUGCAUGAUGAAACAUGGUGACUGAUGUAAUUCAGCAUGCGUGCAUUAACAUUAAUGAGGAAUAAGCAUGCAGAAGAACACAACAAAAGUAUCAGGUCACCAUAGAGUUUAAGAUUACAACUCGAUCCAGCAAAGUCAUCAGAAGAACGAGAGUUGUAACUUAGCAAACAAACGCCCAUAUAAGAUAGACCCGCUUGAAGACUAACUCAAAUUUCUCCCUCUUUGUCAUCGAAUGACCAAAAGGGUUGAAACUGAGGACUAACGCCCCUGAAGAAUAUCAAGAAGAUGGAGGAGCGCCAGCGUGGUCAGGGUCUUGAGUCGAUGUAGGGCCUGCCGCAGUGUCGUCCAAGUCUUCAUGCUCGUCUGUGGCGCGUGAUGAAGAAUAUGAGCUAGCCACCAAGGAAGGAACCUUGACCCUCUUGAAUUUCUUCGGAGGAGGAGCAGACCAGUCAAAGUCUUCCUUGGAGCCCAUUUGUUUCAGAUCUUCUUCACCAUAUAGAUGUGACAGAAUAGCCCAGGUGCGAUCAAACACUUCAUGGAGGUAGUAGUGGUUUUUCUUCACUGCAUUAUGUGUGGAAGUCAUGUUGUGAAGAAUGGAACCAAACUGACGCUUAACCCAUUUGUGGUUGCGAUCCACCUUCUGGUGAAGACUUAUCAGCAGUUCACGAUCAGUCAGCACACGAGGAGUAGUAGCUUGAGGACUUGUCUUGGUAGCAUUGGCAGCAGUAUCAUGAGUGGCAGAGUCAUCAUUGGUGGAGUAAGAUGCAGCUUUGCGGAACUGACCAUCCAAUGGACGAAUGCCUUCAUCGAUCACGGUUGGUGACUUGCCCUUUUCUUCACCUGAAGAAUAUGUCCGUUUGAGGACUUCAAUCGGAGGCAAGUAGCUGCCAUAGUUGAGAGUGUCAGCCUUGUAGUUGAGUGAAGACCUUGUUAUGAGGAAUCUCAUGAUCCAUGGCGCGUAAGGCUUCAGCUCAAACGAAGAAAGUGCAACAUUUGCAAGAGUCCUCAUGAAGAAAUCAUGAUAAUUGUUAGGGAUGCCAUGCAUGAUGUUGAAGAGCAUAUUCUUCAUCAUUCCCACAAUUUCUUCAUCAGAGGAGUCAUGACCUUUGAUUGGACUGAUAGUCUUCGUCAGAAUGCAAUAGACUGUCCUAGGCACAUAGAGCAAUUCCUUCACGAGGAAUUUGGUCCUUGGAGCUUGUCCUGGCUUCAGCGGCUUCAUGAGCACUUGCAUGUAGUGAUCAGUGAGUUCAGGCUCAUCAUACAGACAACGAGCACCGUCAAGUGGAGGACUGAUUGGCAGGGCACGAAGCAAUUCAGUGGCUGGUGCCUUCUAAUAUGUGUUUUCAGUCAUCCAGUCCAACACCCAUGAGUUGACGUCAGCAGCAUCGCCUGUGAUAUGCAAAGUUGCGUAGAACUGAAGAAUAAGCUCUUCGUUCCAAUCAACAAUGUCAGAGCAGAAAUUUAGCAAGCCAGCGUCAUGAAUCAUGCUGAGGACUUGACAGGAGCACGACAUGGAUUCCAUGUCCACAUGAGGAAUAUGCUCAUGAUCGAAGACUUUGUCCUUGUUGAAGAGCACUGAGGAAUAGAAGUUGGCCUGGCUGGCAGUCCAGAAACGCUUCCUUCUAAGACGAGCAUUGUCAUAGGGGUUGAAGUCAGUGAAGAACACGUGCUCGCCGAAGAAAUCAUCAGCCCUGAAUUUUUGCUUCUUAGAGAAGGGAUCCUUUGGCUUGGGCUGAGGAGUGUCAGUCAGUUGCAGCACCACCUCAGGAAUCGCAAUCUCAGGUUCCUCAGGCUGAGGAAUUCCAGGCUCUUCAGCAGCUUCAGGGUUGCCAAUUCUUCAUUGACAAUUUCUUCAGCACUAGCGGCUGGAAUUUCUUCAUGAACACUUGGGGUUGCAUGAGGUUCUUCAGAUCCCAUUUGUACUACAGUGGUAGUAGGGGACUGAGGAAUAGCUUGGAGGGGAGUGAACAUUGGGGAGUUGGGAUGCUGACUGUCCCAAAAUUCAUCAUUGAGGACCGGAGUGAUACAGCCAAUAUCCACAUCCUCCUCUUAAAUUUCUUCAACACCUGCCUCUUCAGCAGUAAACUGAGGCAAAGGUGAGGAAAUGAUUGGGGUUGAAGAGAUCUCAUCCACUUCAAUUUCUUCGUCCAACUGCUCUAAAGAAGCAGCAGAAUGAGGUUCUUCAUCAGAUUCAUUAGGAAUCACAUAGUCUUCACCAAAAGGAACAAGGUCCUUUGAUGGCAUUGAUGAAACUGGAAUGACAUCAAUUGGUUUGUCAAUUGAACUGAUCAGAGUCUUCAUCUUCUUUGGAGUUGUAGAAUUUGAUGAAGCUGAUGCCUUCCUUUUCUUCACAGUUGCACGUUCUGUAGCCUUGGUCUUCUUCGCAUCUGAUGCAGAUGGAAGGAUUGGAGUUGGUGUAGGCGCAGGAGGUGCAGAGGACAUUGGUUCAUGUUCCUCAGGCGCAACUGAUGCAGUUGCCCUGAUUUGUUCACUUUCUUCAGGCGCACCACUAGUGGAUGCCCUGGCAAUAUCUUCAGCGGCUGGAAUGGAGUCAUCAGCCCUGGCACUCUCAUUUUCUUCAGUAGGCUGAGCAGAUGCCUCAGCCUGAGUAACUUCAAUGUGUGCAAGUGGAGCAGCACUUGAAGUGAAUUUCUUUGUCAGAUUGACGAAACGUACCUUGGCGCCCUUCCAGUCAGCAUAAUAGCGAUCAAAUUCAUCGCUCGGUUGCUUGAUUUCAGCUUGCAAGGCAAGAAGCUGAUCAGGGGUGAGAGUGAGGACAUUGUCCUUGAGGUAGCGCUGUUUCUUGUACUACGCUUUCUUCAGACUUCUGCCUUGUUCAAAUUUCCAUUUCUCUUCUUCAAUGAAGGCAGUGAGGACAUGGCUUUGACCAGGAGUGAGGUUCAUCUCUGGCAAAGGCGUGUUGGGGUCCUUGUGUUGGGGAACAUAGUAAUUUCAAAAAAAUUCCUACGUACACGCAAGAUCAUGGUGAUGGCAUAGCAACGAGAGGAUAGAGUAUUGUCCACGUACCCUCGUAGACCGUAAGCGGAAGCGUUAUGACAACGCGGUUGAUGUAGUCGUACGUCUUCACGAUCCGGCCGAUCCAAGUACCGAACGUACGGCACCUCUGAGUUCAGCACACGUUCAGCUCGAUGACGAUCCCCGGACUCUGAUCCAGCAAAGUUUCGGGGAUGAGUUCCGUCAGCACGACGGCGUGGUGACGAUGAUGAUGCUCUACCGGCACAGGGCUUCGCCUAAACUUGGCGACGAUAUGACCGAGGUGGAAUAUGGUGGAGGGGGCACUGCACACGGCUAAGGAACGAUCCAUAGAUCAACUUGUGUGUUCUGGGGUGCCCCCCUGCCCCCGUAUAUAAAGGAGCAAGGGGGAGGCCGGCCGGCCCUUGUGGGCGCGCCAAGGAGGAGGAGUCCUCCUCCUAGUAGGAGUAGGACUCCCCCUUUCCUACUCCUACUAGGAGGGGAAAGGAAGGGGAAGAGGGGGAAGGAAAGAGGGGGGGGGGCGCCGCCCCCCUCCUAGUCCAAUUCGGACCAGAGGGAGAGGGGGCACGCGGCCCACCCUGGCCGCCCCUCUCUCUUUCCACCAAGGCCCAUGUGGCCCAUUAUCUCUCCCCGAGGGGUUCCGGUAACCCUCCGACACUCCGGUUUUCUCUGAAAACGUCCGGAACACUUCCGGUGUCCGAAUAUAGUCGUCCAAUAUAUCAAUCUUUAUGUCUCGACCAUUUUGAGACUCCUCGUCAUGUCCGUGAUCACAUCCGGGACUCCGAACAAACUUCGGUACAUCAAAACUUAUAAACUCAUAAUAAAACUGUCAUCGUAACGUUAAGCGUGCGGACCCUACGGGUUCGAGAACUAUGUAGACAUGACCUAGAACUAUUCUCGGUCAAUAACCAAUAGCGGAACCUGGAUGCCCAUAUUGGUUCCUACAUAUUCUACGAAGAUCUUUAUCGGUCAAACCGCAUAACAACAUACGUUGUUCCCUUUGUCAUCGGUAUGUUACUUGCCCGAGAUUCGAUCGUCGGUAUCCAAUACCUAGUUCAAUCUCGUUACCGGUAAGUCUCUUUACUCGUUACGUAAUGCAUCAUUCCGUAACUAACUCAUUAGCUACAUUGCUUGCAAGGCUUAUAGUGAUGUGCAUUACCGAGAGGGCCCAGAGAUACCUCUCCGACAAUCGGAGUGACAAAACCUAAUCUCUAAAUACGCCAACCCAACAUGUACCUUUGGAGACACCUGUAGUACUCCUUUAUAAUCACCCAGUUACGUUGUGACGUUUGGUAGCACCCAAAGUGUUCCUCCGGUAAAUGGGAGUUGCAUAAUCUCAUAGUUGCAGGAACAUGUAUAAGUCAUGAAGAAAGCAAUAGCAACAUACUAAACGAUCAAGUGCUAAGCUAACGAAUGGGUCAAGUCAAUCACAUCAUUCUUCUAAUGACGUGAUCCCAUUAAUCAAAUGACAACACAUGUCUAUGGUUAGGAAACAUAACCAUCUUUGAUUAAUGAGCUAGUCAAGUAGAGGCAUACUAGUGACACUAUGUUUGUCUAUUUAUUCACACAUGUAUUAUGUUUCCGGUUAAUACAACUCUAGCAUGAAUAAUAAACAUUUAUCAUGAAAUAAGGAAAUAAAUAAUAACUUUAUUAUUGCCUCUAGGGCAUAUUUCCUCCAGUCUCCCACUUGCACUAGAGUCAAUAAUCUAGUUCACAUCGCCAUGUGAUUUAACAUCAAUAUUCAUAUCUGUAUAUGAUUAACACCCAUAGUCCACAUCGUCAUGUGACCAACACCCAAAGGGUUUACUAGAGUUAAUAAUCUAGUUCACAUCGCUUAUGUGAUUAACACCCAAAGAGUACUAAGGUGUGAUCAUGUUUUGCUUGUGAGAGAAGCUUAGUCAACGGGUCUGUCACAUUCAGAGCCGUAUGUAUUUUGCAAAUAUUCUAUGUCUACAAUGCUCUGCACGGAGCUACUCUAGCUAAUUGCUCCCACUUUCAAUAUGUAUCCAGAUUGAGACUUAGAGUCAUCUGGAUCGGUGUAAAAGCUUGCACCAAUGUAACUCUUUACUACGGGCUCUUUUAUCACCUCCAUAAUCGAGAAAUAUUUCCUUAGUCCUCACUAAGGAUAUUCUUAACUGAUGUCCAGUGAUCUACUCUUAGAUCAAAAUUGUAUUCCUUUGUCAAACUCAGAGCAAGGUAUACAAUAGGUCUGGUUCAUAGCAUAGCAUACUUUAUAGAACCUAUGACUGAGGCAUAGGGAAUGACUUUUCAUUCUCUUUCUAUUUUCUGCCAUGGUCGGGUCUUGAGUCUUACUCAAAUUCACACCUUUGCAUCACAGGCAAGAACUCCUUCUUUGACUCUUCCAUUUUGAACUAUUUCAAAAAUUUAUCAAGGUAUGUACUCAUUGAAAAAUCUUAUCAAGCGUCUUGAUCUAUCUAUAUAGAUAUUGAUGCUCAAUGUGUAAGCAGCUUCACUGAGGUCUUGCUUUCAAAAACUCUUAUUCAAGUAUCCUUUCAUGCUAUCCAGAAUUUCUAUAUCAUUUCCAAUCAACAAUAUGUCAUCCACAUAUAAUAUUAGAAAUGCUACAGAGCUCCCACUCACUUUCUUGUAAAUACAGGCUUCUCAAAAAGUCUGUAUAAAACCAUAUGCUUUGAUCAACUCAUCAAAGCGUAUAUUCCAACUCCGAGAGGCUUGCACCAGUCCAUAAAUGGAUCGCUGGAGCUUGUACACUUUGUUAGCACCUUUAGGAUUCACAAAACCUUCUGGUUGCAUCAUAUACAACUCUUCUUUAAUAAAUCCAUUAAGGAAUGCAGUUUUGACAUCCAUUUGCCAGAUUUCAUAAAAUGUGGUAAUUGCUAAUAUGAUUCGGACAGACUUAAGCAUCGACACGAGUGAGAAAAUCUCAUCGUAUUCAACACCUUGAACUUGUCAAAAACCUUUUUGCGACAAGUCGAGAUUAGUGGAUAGUAACACUACUAUCAGUGUCCAUCUUCCUCUUGAAGAUCCAUUUAUUUAACAUGGCUUGCUGAUCAUCGAGCAAGUCAAUCAAAGUCCAUACUUUGUUCUCAUACAUGGAUCAUAUCUCAGAUUUUAUGGCCUCAAGCCAUUUCAUGGAAUCUGGGCUCAUCAUCGCUUCCUCAUAGUUCGUAGGUUUAUCAUGGUCUAGUAACAUGACUUUCAGAACAGGAUUACCGUACCACUCUGGUGCGGACCGUACUCUGGAAGACCUACGAGGUUCUGUAGUAACUUGAUCUGAAGUUUCAUGAUCAUCAUCAUUAGCUUACUCACUAAUUGGUGCAGGAAUCACUGGAACUGAUUUCAGUGAUGAACUAUUUUCCAAUUCAGGAGAAGGUACAGUUACCUCAUCAAGUUCUACUUUUCCUUCCACUCACUUCUUUCGAGAGAAACUCCUUCUCUAGAAAGGAUCCAUUUUUAGCAACGAAUAUCUUGCCUUCGGAUCUGUGAUAGAAGGUGUACCCAACAAUUUCCUUUGGGUAUUCUAUGAAGACGCACUUCUCUGAUUUGGGUUUGAGCUUAUCAGGUUGAAAACCUUUUUCAUAUAAGCAUCACAACUCCAAACUUUAAGAAACGACAGCUUAGGUUUACUGCUAAACCAUAGUUCAUACGGUGUUGUCUCAACGGAUUUAGAUGGUGCCCUAUUUAAAUGUGAAUGCAGCUGUCUCUAAUGCAUAACCCCAAAACGAUAGUGGUAAACCGAUAAGAGACAUCAUAGAUCGCACCAUAUCUAGUAAAGUACGAUUACAACGUUCGAACACACCAUUACAUUAUGAUGUUCCAGGUGGCGUGAUCUGUGAAACUAUUCCACAUUGUUUUAAUUGAAGACCAAACUCGUAACUCAAAUAUUCGUCUCCGCGAUCAGAUCACAGAAACUUUAUUUUCUUGUUAUGAUGAUUUUUCCACUUCACUCUGAAAUUCUUUGAACUUUUCAAAUGUUUCAGACUUGUGCUUCAUUAAGUAGAUAUACUCAUAUCUUCCCAAUUCAUCUUGUGAAGGUCAGAAAAUAAUGAUACCCGCCACGAGCAUCAACAUUCAUUGGACCGCAUACAUCAGUAUGUAUUAUUUCCAAUAAGUCACUAGCUCGUUCCAUUGUUCCGAAGAACGGAGUUUUAGUCAUCUUGCCCAAAAGGCAUGGUUCGCAAGCAUCAAAUGAUUCACAACCAAGAGAUUCCAAAAAUCCAUCUUUAUGGAGUUUCUUCAUGCACUUUACACCGAUAUGACCCAAACGGCAGUGCCACAAAUAAGUUGCACUAUCAUUAUCAACUUUGCAUCUUUUGGCAUCAAUAUUAUGAAUAUGUGUAUCACUACGAUCGAGAUCCAACAAACUAUUUUCAUUGGGUAUAUGACCAUCAAAGGUUUUAUUCAUUUAAACAGAACAACAAUUAUUCUCUGAUUUUAAAUGAAUAACCGUAUUGCAAUAAACAUGAUCAAAUCAUAUUCAUGCUCAACGCAAACACCAAAUAACAUUUAUUUAGGUUCAACACUAAUCCCGAAAGUAUAGGGAGUGUGGAUGAUGAUCAUAACAAUCUUGGAACCACUUCCAACACACAUCGUCACUUCACCCUCAACUAGUUUCUGUUUAUUCUGUAACUCCUGUUUCGAGUUACUAAUCUUAGAAACCGAACAAGUAUCAAAUACUCAGGGGUUACUAUAAACACUAGUAAGGUACACAUCAAUAACAUGUAUAUCAAAUAUACCCUUGUUCACUUUGCCAUCCUUCUUAUCCACCAAAUAUUCAAGGUAUUUCCGUUUCCAGUGACCAUUUCUUUUGCAGUGUAAGCACUCAGUUUCAGGCUUUGGUCCAUCUUUGGUCUUCUUCACGGGAGUGACAACUUGUUUGCCAUUCUACUUGAAGUUUCCCUUUCUUUCCCUUUGCCCUUUUCUUGGAACUAGUGAUCUUUGUCAAUCAUCAACUCUUGAUGCUCUUUUUUGAUUUCUACCUUCGUCGAUUUCAACAUCACGAAGAGCUCGGGAAUCGUUAACGUCAUCCCUUGCAUACUAUAGUUCAUCAUUAAGUUCUAGUAACUUAGUGAUGGUGACUAGAGAAUUCUGUCAAUCACUAUCUUAUCUGGAAGAUUAACUCCCACUUGAUUCAAGUGAUUGAAGUACCCAGAUAAUCUGAGCACAUGCUCACUAGUUGAGCGAUUCUCCUCCAUCUUUUAGCUAUAGAACUUGUUGGAGACUUCAUAUCUCUCAACUCGCGUAUUUGCUUGAAAUAUUAACUUCAAUACCUGGAACAUCUCAUAUGGUCCAUGACGUUCAAAACAUUUUUGAAGUCCCGAUUCUAAGCCAUAAAGCAUGGUGCACAAAACUAUCAAGUAGUCAUCAUAUUGAGCAAGCCAAACAUUCAUAACGUCUGCAUCUGCUCCUGCAAUAGGUCUUUCACCUAGCGGUGCAUUAAGGACAUAAUUCUUCUGUGCAGCAAUGAGAAUAAACCUCAGAUCACGGAUCCAAUCCGCAUCAUUGCUACUAACAUCUUUCAAUACAAUUUUCUCUAGGAACAUAUAAAAAUAAACAUAUGAAAGCAACAACGCAAGCUAUUGAUCUACAACAUAAUUUGCAAAAUACUACCAGGACUAAGUUCAUGAUAAAUUAAAGUUCAAUUAAUCAUAUUACUUAAGAACUCCCACUUAGAAAGACAUCUCUCUAAUCCUCUAAGUGAUUACGUGAUCCAUAUCAACUACACCAUGUCCGAUCAUCACGUGAGAUGGAGUAGUUUCAACGGUGAACAUCAAUAUGUUGAUCAUAUCUACUAUAUGAUUCACGCUCGACCUUUCGGUCUCCGUGUUCCGAGGCCAUAUCUGCAUAUGCUAGGCUCGUCAAGUUUAACCUGAGUAUUCUGCGUGUGCAAAACUGGCUUGCACCCGUUGUAGAUGGACGUAGAGCUUAUCACACCCGACCAUCACGUGGUGUCUGGGCACGACGAACUUUGGCAACGGUGCAUACUCAGGGAGAACACUUCUUGAUAAUUUUUAGUGAGAGAUCAUCUUAAAAUGCUACCCUCAAUCAAAGCAAGAUAAGAUGCAUAAAGGAUAAACAUCACAUGCAAUCAAUAUAAGUGAUAUGAUAUGGCCAUCAUCAUCUUGUGCUUGUAAUCUCCAUCUCCGAAGCACCGUCGUGAUCACCAUCGUCACCGGCGCGACACCUUGAUCUCCAUCAUAGCAUCGUUGUCGUUUACACCAUCUAUUGCUUCUACGACUAUCGCUACCACUUAGUGAUAAAGUAAAGCAAUUACAGGGCGUUUGCAUUUCAUACAAUAAAGCGACAACCAUAUGGCUCCUGCCAGUUGCCGAUAACUUCGGUUACAAAACAUGAUCAUAUCAUACAAUAAAAUAUAGCAUCACGUCUUGACCAUAUCACAUCACAACAUGCCCUGCAAAAACAAGUUAGACGUCCUCUACUUUGUUGUUGCAAGUUUUACGUGGCUGCUACGGGCUUAGCAAGAACCGUUCUUACCUACGCAUCAAAACCACAACGAUAGUUCAUCAAGUUAGUGCUAUUUUAACCUUCGCAAGGACCGGGCGUAGCCACACUCGAUUCAGCUAAAGUGAGAGAGACAGACACCCGCCAGCCACCUUUAAGCACGAGUGCUCGUAACGGUGAAACCAGUCUCGCGUAAGCGUACGCGUAAUGUCGGUCUGGGCCGCUUCAUCUCACAAUACCGCCGAACCAAAGUAUGGCAUGCUGGUAAGCAGUAUGACUUGUAUCACCCACAACUCACUUGUGUUCUACUCGUGCAUAUGACAUCUACGCAUAAAACCUAGCUCGGAUACCACUGUUGGGGAACAUAGUAAUUUCAAAAAAUUUCCUACGUACACGCAAGAUCAUGGUGAUGGCAUAGCAACGAGAGGAUAGAGUAUUGUCCACGUACCCUCGUAGACCGUAAGCGGAAGCGUUAUGACAACGCGGUUGAUGUACUCAUACGUCUUCACGAUCCGGCCGAUCCAAGUACCGAACGUACGGCACCUCCGAGUUCAGCACACAUUUAGCUUGAUGACGAUCCCCGGACUCCGAUCCAGCAAAGUGUCGGGGAUGAGUUCCGUCAGCACGACUGCGUGGUGACGAUGAUGAUGCUCUACCGGUGCAGGGCUUCGCCUAAACUCCGCGAUGAUAUGACUGAGGUGGAAUAUGGUGGAGGGGGGCACCGCACACGGCUAAGGAACGAUCCGUAGAUCAACUUCUGUGUUCUGGGGUGCCCCCUGCCCCCGUAUAUAAUGGAGCAAGGGGGAGGCCGGCCGGCCCUUGUGGGCGCGCCAAGGAGGAGGAGUCCUCCUCCUAGUAGGAGUAGGACUCCCCCUUUCCUACUCCUACUAGGAGGGAAAAGGAAGGGGGAGAGGGGGAAGGAAAGAGGGGGGGGCGCCCCCCCUCCUAGUCCAAUUCGGACCAGAGGGAGAGGGGGCGUGUGGCCCACCCUGGCCGCCCCUCUCUCUUUCCACCAAGGCCCAUGUGGCCCAUUAUCUCUCCCCGGGGGGUUCCGGUAACCUUCCGGCACUCCGGUUUUCUCCGAAAACGUCCGAAACACUUUUGGUGUCCGAAUAUAGUCGUCCAAUAUAUCAAUCUUUAUGUAUCGACCAUUUCGAGACUCCUCGUCAUGUCCGUGAUCACAUCCGGGACUCCGAACAAACUUCGGUACAUCAAAACUUAUAAACUCAUAAUAAAAGUGUCAUCGUAACAUUAAGCGUGCGGACCCUACGGGUUCGAGAACUAUGUAGACAUGACCUAGAACUAUUCUCGGUCAAUAACCAAUAGUGGAACCUGGAUGCCCAUAUUGGUUCCUACAUAUUCUACGAAGAUCUUUAUCGGUCAAACCGCAUAACAACAUACGUUGUUCCCUUUGUCAUCGGUAUGUUACUUGCCCGGGAUUCGAUCGUCAGUAUCCAAUACCUAGUUCAAUCUCGUUACCGGUAAGUCUCUUUACUCGUUACGUAAUGCAUCAUUCCGUAACUAACUCAUUAGCUACAUUGCUUGCAAGGCUUAUAGUGAUGUGCAUUACCGAGAGGGCCCAGAGAUACCUCUCCGACAAUCGGAGUGACAAAACGUAAUCUCGAAAUACGCCAACCCAACAUGUACCUUUGGAGACACCUGUAGUACUCCUUUAUAAUCACCCAGUUACGUUGUGACGUUUGGUAGCACCCGAAGUGUUCCUCCGGUAAACAGGAGUUGCAUAAUCUCAUAGUUACAGGAACAUGUAUAAGUCAUGAAGAAAGCAAUAGCAACAUACUAAACGAUCAAGUGCUAAGCUAACGGAAUGGGUCAAGUCAAUCACAUCAUUCUUCUAAUGACGUGAUCCCAUUAAUCAAAUGACAACACAUGUCUAUGGUUAGGAAACAUAACCAUCUUUGAUUAAUGAGCUAGUCAAAUAGAGGCAUACUAGUGACACUAUGUUUGUCUAUUUAUUCACACAUGUAUUAUGUUUCCGGUUAAUACAAUUCUAGCAUGAAUAAUAAACAUUUAUCAUGAAAUAAGGAAAUAAAUAAUAACUUUAUUAUUGCCUCUAGGGCAUAUUUCCUUCACCUUGUGCCAUAAGUUAAUGUAAUCAAGGAUCAGCUUGGGAUCCAACAUCAGUGGCACAUUGCUGCCUUUGGUUCUAGCGGCCCUGGCUUGCCUAUUUCUGAUGAUUUCGGCAAGUUCUUCAUCAUCAGCCUCAUCAUCAUCAAAAGGUACAUGGAAGGCUACCUGCUUCUUGUGAGGACUUGGGCGAGUGCCUCGUCCAGCAGUGGCCUUUUUCUUCGGCAGAGAGGUACCAGUUGAGGAAUUUCAAGCAGCAGAGGAGCUUGCAGAUGCUCCAGAGGCAAUAGAGAAGCCUUGAGUCCUUUGGCACGUGGCGAGAUGCACAGGUGCCGAGGAUUUUGUGGGAGCAGCUGAAGACUUUGUCGGAGGAUCUGAGGACUUUGAUGGAGCAGGCUGAGGAGUUUGCCGUGAGGGCCUUAAGGAAUCUGGCCUUGAUGGCAUAGCAGAGGAGCUUGGCCGUGAGGGCAUUGAACGUGAAGCACUGGACUUGUGUGCAGGCUUCUUGGGCAUAGCCUUCUUGGGCUGACUGGCAGAGGCCUCAGCUGAGGCAGCAGUAGCAGCAGAGUCAGCGUUGAAUUUCCUCACUGCUUCCUUUGCUUGCUUGGCCAGUUUGGCUUGGCGUUUUGCCCAUUCGUCAGGAUAAUCCUCACCGUGCUUGAGGCUAGUGGGAUCCGCCAACUGGCUUGGUGCCAAUGGAGAUCUUGGGCAUGGAGGGUUGAGUGCGAAUUUCUUCAUGUACUUGGCAGUUACAUACCUGUACUCCCUCCAUUCCCGUGCCCAUCUCCUUUCAAUCCUCUGGAUGCACCUUGCGCUGAUUUUUGUUCUCCUUACCAAACUUGGCUUCAUCAGGUGUGCAAUAGCCUGCGUAAAUGUCCUUAGGAAUUUCAAAAGCAGUCAUGACCUCAGGCUUCUUUCCUCCCUUCUGUGGCUUCUUACCAUCUGCCAUUUUCUUUAGUUGAGGAAUCUGAACAAUCGAAUUCUCUGAAGAAGUAUGCAACUUUUCUUCGAGGAAUGCUGCAAAUGAGUUAAGUUGAUGAGAACCUAGUGAUUCAGCAGUGGACAUUUGUACCUGUGAAUAGAGUGUAGUUGCGAGGAAUUUGGAGAGGUCAUAUGCGUUCUCAGAGGGUUUUUCAAAAAGGAACAAGUUUGAGGAAUUUGACCAGAUGAGUCUUGAGGAAUUUCACUAAGCGUUCUUUGUCUUAGGUUCCAGAGUUGUAUAGAUUGAAAAAUCCACACAAUUGAGGAAUCUUGAAGAAAAUCAUAGCUUAGAGAAACGAAUCAAGAACAGAUGAUAUGUGAGGUGUUCAUGUGUGUGAAGAAUUGAAGAAUAAACACCUUUGAAGAUUUUCAGAAACACUUGAGAAUCAAAGCGAGCAGUUAAAAGUAACUUUUAAUUACCCGAAGUGAAGAACACGACGAACUGGGAAGAACAGAUGUGAAGUUCGUCAGUUCAGAUCUUCCACGCCCUAACUUGGCAGAGGAAGACGGCUAUGGCGGCGACAGAGGGAAGAUUUCUGCGGCCGACGCGAGUACGACGGUGACGAGGUCGAGGCAGUGAAGCUCUUCCUCACCGGCGACGAUGGAGUAGCGGCGGCGCUAGGGUUUGAGAAGCUCGAGCGGGAGAGAGAGGUCGAGCGGAGUAAAGGAAGUGAGGAAGGGGUGAGGGGGUGAGGGGGUAUUUAUAGUCGCAGUGAAAAACUGUUUGCCCAAAGAUUUAGGACGAACGUGCCCCUGACCCUUCUCAUUCGCAUGACAUGUGUCACCCACAUACUGUGAGGUGGUGAUCGUGUAAGAUCAUGGGUGAAUAGAUAAAUAUAUCGUGGGAUGCGAAACGGUUUGAGCGGCAAAGCCGAAAAUUCAGAUAAGAUAAGUUUUAAAGUUUCGUUCGCAAUUUCUUCAGCUGACAAGGACACAGUGAAGAAUUUGAACGAGUUUCAAAUAGAACGCAUAUGAGGAAUUUGUGAAUAGACUGGGUUGAGUUUAGCAUAGAGGGGGAAAGGGUCCGAUCACAUUCACUUAGCAUAAGAAAUCAACUUUGAAGAAAUAGCAAUAAGUGAAUGCUGUAGAGGACUUAAAACUCAUAUAUAUAUAUAUAUAUAUAUAUAUAUAUAUAUAUAUAUAUAUAUAUAUAUAUAUAUUAGAAUGAAGAACAACACUGGGAAGAGUGAAGACAAUGCAAAGUUGACGAAUUUGAAAAACUGAGGAAUUUCAAAAACGAAGAAAAACUCAAACUGAAGAUUUUUCAACUUCGGUUGGUGGCGUAACCCACCGUAUAAGAAAGCUAAUUUCAGACACCGCGUACAACUGUCGUAGGGCUCUGAGAAUCAAUUUCCUCAUUAAUUUCUUCACACUUAGAGGGUUAGUCUUCAUUGACUGAAGAAAAAUGUUACUUCGUGUGUUGCGCAUCUAAGUCAUCAAGUCAGCAUAAGUGUUAGGAUGUGUGUCCAUUUCAGAGAACAUUCGAAGAUUCUAGGAUAUUUAGCUCACACCGCAACUUGCUAAAUCUCUCCUCAUCCAAGUGUUGGUGUGUGAGCUAAGUAUCGAAGAAUAUGCUUCACAGCCUUAUGGUGUGAUUCGUUCGGUGUAGCUUGAAAUCGGGCACACAUGCAAACACUAAGCAUAAUAUCCGGCCUAGAUGCACAUAGGUACAAUAAAGAGCCAAUCAUGGAGCGGUAUACCUUUUGAUCAAGUCUUUACCAUUUUCAUAAGUGCAUAGAUGGCCAUUUGUGGGCAUUGGAAUUUUGACCCCUUUGCAAUCUUGCAUGCCGAAUUUCCUCAAUACGUCCUUGAGGUAUUUCUCCUGAGAUAUGAAUAUUCCAUUGCACUGUUGAUGAAUUUGAAGACCUAAGAAGAAUUUCAACUCUCCCAUCAUAGACAUUUGAUAUUCUUCACUCAUCAUAUAGGCAAAUUCAUCACUAUAUCGUUGGUCAGUACAGCCGAAAAUGUAUCAUCAACAUAUAUUUGGCACACAAACAAUUCACCAUCAUAAGACUUAGCGAAAAGAGUAGGGUCGAGUGAACCGGGUUUGAAGCCAUUCUUCACGAAGAAUUCCUUCAAGGUAUCAUACCAUGCCCGAGGGGCUUGCUUGAGGCCAUACAGGGCCUUGUUAAGCUUGAAGACUUUGUCGGGAUUCUUUGGAUCUUCAAAACCUGGGGGUUGAGCAACAUAUACUUCUUCCUCAAUCUUACCAUUGAGGAAUGCACUUUUCACAUCCAUUUGUUGUAAGAUAAUAUCAUGAUGGUUAGCGUAAGCAAGUAAUAUGCGAAUAGCCUCAAGUCUAGCAACAGGUGCAAAAGUUUCUUCAAAGUCAACUCCUUCAACCUGUGUGUAGCCUUGAGCUACAAGUCGUGCCUUAUUCCUCACUACAAGACCAUUUUCAUCUUGCUUGUUGCGGUAGAUCCACUUUGUGCCAAUAAUCUUGUGCUUGCGAGGAUCUGGAUGUUUGACCAGUUCCCAGACAUUGUUGAGCUCGAACUGGUGUAAUUAUUCUUGCAUAGCUUGAAUCCACUCAGGCUCCAGAAAUGCUUCAUCUACCUUAGUGGGCUCUGUGAUAGAGACAAAUGCGAAGUGCCCACAAAAGUUAGAUAAAUGUGAAGCUUUUGAGCGUGUGAGAGGACCUGGUGCUUUAAUGUCAUCGAUGAUCUUCUCGAUUUGCACUUCAUUUGCAAUACGAGGAUGAGCGGGUUGACUUCGAGGAAUCUGAUCCGCAUUUUCUUCAUGAGCAUUUUCCUCAGCACCAUUUUCUUCAGGUGCGCCAGCCCGAUGUUCAUCAUGUUCUGGAAUGAAUUCUUCUGCAGAUUCUUCAGUAGGAAUCACAUCCUCAGUGGCUUUGAACUUGAUAGAAUCCUCAGGUGCUUGUUCAUCUAUCACAGAAGGUAGGUGCUCUCUUUGCGAGCCAUUAGUUUCAUCGAACCGCACAUCUACAGUUUCAACAACCUUGUGAAGAACGUUGUUGAAGACUUUGUAGGUGUGCGAGUCCUUUCCGUAACCAAGCAUGAAACCCUCAUGUGCUUUCGGUGCAAACUUAGAAUUCUGAUGAGGAUCUCUAAUCCAGCAUUUAGCACCAAAGACUUUGAAGUAACUUACAUUGGGUUUCUUGUUAGUGAGGAGUUCAUAGGCAGUCUUCUUGAAGAAUUUAUGAAGAUAUACUCUGUUGAUGAUGUGGCAAGCUGUAUCAAUUGCAUCAAUCCAGAACCGACGAGGUGUCUUGUAUUCAUCAAGCAUAGUGCAUGCCAUUUCAGCGAGGGUUCUAUUUUUGCGCUCCACGACGCCAUUCUGUUGAGGAGUAUAAGGAGCAGAUAACUCAUGAGUAAUACCAAGUUCAUCAAGAUAGCCAUCAAGACUGGAAUUCUUGAACUCAGUUCCAUUGUCACAUCUGAUGUGCUUGAUCUUCACACCAACAUUGGUUGAAGCCCUCGAAGAAAAUCGUUUGAAGACUUCCUGCACUUCAUGUUUGUAAGUAACAAUGUGUACCCACGUGUAACGAGAAUAAUCAUCAACAAUAACAAAGCCAUAUAGAGAUGCAUCAUUUGUCACAGCAGAAUAAUGAUUAGGACCGAAAAGAUCCAUGUGAAGCAAUUCAAAUGGUCGAGUGGUAGUCAUGAUAGUCUUCGCUGGAUGCUUGGCCUUUGUCAUCUUCCCAGCUUCACAAGCUCCACAUAAAUGAUCCUUGAGGAAUUUGACAUUCUCAAUGCCAAUGACAUGCUUCUUCUUCGCGAGCGUGUGCAGAUUCCUCAUGCCAGCAUGACCAAGUCGUCGAUGCCAUAGCCAGCCUUCUGAAGCUUUUGCAAGUAAGCACACGACAGGUUGUGGUCCUGUAGAGAAAUCAACAAUGUACAAGUCUCCUCUCCUAAAGCCUUCGAAGACUUUGGAAUUAUCAGCUUCCAUGAUCACAACACAACGAUACUUGCCAAAGACAACAACCAUAUCAAGAUCACAAAGCAUUGAGACAGACAUGAGGUUGUAUCCUAAGGACUCGACAAGCAUGACUUUGUCCAUGUGUAUGUCCUUAGAGAUCGCAACCUUACCUAGACCCAAUACCUGACUUUUGCCUUUGUCAGCGAAGAUGAUAUGCUUCAGAUGUGACGGUGAUAAGGGAGCAUCCAUCAAUAGAUUCUUGUCACCAUUCAUGUGAUUUGUACAUCCACUAUCGAGGACCCACUCAUUUGCUUUGGGUUGAUCAUCCUGCAGAUGAAUUAGUGAAUCUUACAAACUCAUAUACUUCAUCAGUGAAGAAUAUGACAUCAGUAUCAUCAGGUCAAUUUCAUCAAGCAAUGUAAACAGAUAAUCAGUAGGAGGACGUGUGAAAUGAAGGUUCAUUUCAUCAUGAUUAGCCUGCGUCCUAUCAGGCAUUGUUCAGGUCUCCAGCAAAUUCUUCAGUCGUUUUGAGCACGACUGGAGACCUGACCCUGCAUAAGAGAUUAGUUCUUUUUCUUCACCACCCACAUCUGGAGGGGUGGCAAAGAAUUCAUCACUCUGCGAGCAUCAUAUGAGAAAGGUGGCAUGGACGCCAGUCCACUUCGUUUCACAUAAGAUGGGUUAGGGUAAGCAUAUGAAUAAGCAGAGAAAUUCUUCGAGGACUUAUGAACAUAAUGAUUUGAAGAAUAAUGCACAUAUUCAUAGCCCUUAGCUCUACCCUGCGAAACAGAAGGGUUAGCACGAUAAUGAUCAUAUGAGGACUUUGAUCCUUUUGAGGAAUUUGAUCCACGUGAGGAAUUUUGUCCGUAUGAGGACUUGGAUCCAUAUGAAGAAUUUGGUCCAUAUGAAGAAUUUGAUCUGGAGUUCCUUUUCUUCACAGGUGGUGUCAUGAGGACAUUCACCUGAAGGCUUUCAAGGCAACUUUUGGGAACCCAGAUUUUCUUCAUAGGGGAACCAUUCCUGCAGUUAGUCCCAACAUAUCUAGCAAAUACUUCACCAUUCUGAUUUUUGAACAGUUUAUAGUUAGAGUCAAAUGACUCAUCAGAAGAAUGAGGAGAUUCACAUGUAAAGCCAGAUAAGUUGGAUGGAUCAACUGUAGGUCCCUUUGCAGCAACCCAUGAGGUUUUGGGGUACUGCUCAGGCUUCCAAUAUGUUCCAUCAGCAUUGAGUUUCCUCUCAAAGGCAAUACCCUCUUUCCUAGGGUUUCUGUUGAGGAUCUGCUUUUUGAGCACAUCACAAAGAGUCUGAUGCCCUUUGAGGCUUUUGUACAUGCCUGUCAUGUACAAUUCCUUCAGCCCUGCAUCAUCAGUGAUAUUUGCAUUGUCCUCAGAUGAGGAAUUAGUGACAGCAGAGACAUAUGAAGAAUUUGUAGCAUUAGAAGCAUUUGAACAUUCAGGUGAAGAAUUAGCAGUUUCACGUUCAAUGCACUUCAGACAUGGAGGAACAAAUUCUUCCUGUGUAGCGCUAAUUUGUUGAGCAAGUAAUGAAUCGCGCUCCUUCUGAAGAUCUUCAUAAUCCACUCUUAGAUUUUCAAGAUCUUGCUUUCUUUGAAGAAAUUCAGAAGAAAGCUUCUUGUGAUCAGACAAGAGAGUAUUAUGUUGAUCUUGAAGGGCGUCAAACUUGGAAUGAAGUCUCUGAAGACUCUCAGCCAAUGCUUUUGACUGAUUCAUUUCUUCACCCAACAUAUCAUCGCUCUUAUUAAGCAUGUAUUGAACCUUUUCCAAGGCUCUUUGUUGUUUAGUGGAAAGGGAAGCAAGUUUGACAUAGCUGGGGCCAAAUUCAUCACUUGAUUCAUCAUCACUAGAUUCAGAAAGGUAGCAUUCAGUUACCUUGGCACCCUCUGCCAUGAGGCAUGGUGAAGAUGACGACGAUUCAGGUGUGAAGGUCAUCUCUUUGAGAGAAUCCUUGUAAUCCUCAAACCAAGGAUCAUGACGAGUACGAUGACCUUCAUAAACCUCAGAAAGCCGGUCCCAUAUUAGUUUCGCGUGAUUGAGGUGCAUGACGUUCCUGAACUGAUUUCGAGACAGACAGGAGCAGAUGACAUCCUUCGCCGUGAGGUUCAGUAGAGCGUACUUGCGAAUGUCAUCAGCCUCCGCCAUCUUGCAUAGAUCGGUAAGACCAAUCUCAGUGACGGUCCACAGUUCGCUGUCCAUAGCCAUGAGUCGCUUCUUCAUCAUGGCCUUCCACCGAGGAUACUCAUGACCGUCAAAGAUGGGGCAAGAUACGUUCCUCAAUCCUGCAGUCCACAUAACUAAAACUCCAGGCGAUUAAACCAAAAUCACACAGAACAAGAGAGUACCUUCCUCUGAUACCAAUUGAAAGUGCGUUAUAUCGACUAGAGGGGGGUGAAUAGGUGAUUUUUAUGAAUUCUUCACUGAGGAAUUUGCUGGUGAGGAAAUUCCUAACUGAAGAACUACUAGCAGCGGAAUAAGUAUUCAGAAGUAAACAUAACAGAAUACAAGCAUAGUCAUCAUGGCGAGAUGAAGACAAACACAGAGUACAGAAAGCGUAAACACAGGAUAACACAAGAAAGAAGAUGAACAGACUGAAGAAAUUGAACUAAGGAAAUUGAGAAAGUCUUCAGUCAAAGUCUUCAAACAGAUAUGAACAGGCACACAACAACAGACAAGAGGAAAUGAAAGAGUUGAGGAAAUAGAACCAGGAGGCUUGGUGAAGAUAAUGAUUUGCUAGACCAGUUCCAACUGCUGUCUCAGUUGUACAUCUGGUUGGAGCGGCUGAGUAUUUAAACUCGAGGACACCCAGUCCUGGACACACAGUCCUCACCGUAUUCUCCUUGAGCUAAGGUCACACAGACCUCGCCCAAUCACUCGUGGUAACUCUUCAGGUGACUUCCGAACCUUCACAAACUCGGUCACUCGGCGAUCUACAAUUCCUCUUGGAUGCUCUAGACCUUGACGCCUAACCGUCUGGAAGAAGCACAGUCUUCAAAGGUAACAAGCGUCGGAUCCACGCAGGAUCAAUCUCUUCAGUGAUGCUCAAUCACUUUGGGUUUGUAGGUGUUGGGUUUUGGGUUUUCCUCACUUGAUGAUUUUCGCUCAAAGUCCUCGGAGGAUGGGAUGCUCUCAAUUGACAAGUGUCAGUUUCUCUCGGAGCAGCCAACCACUUAGUGGUUGUAGGGGGCGGCUAUUUAUAGCCUCGGGAGCAGCCCGACAUGAUAAGACAUAAAUGCCCUUGUCUGAUAUGACCGUUAGGUGGGUAGAUAUUUUGGGACAGCUGGCGCAUAGCACAGCAACGGUCGGAAUUUUGGCUAUCAAAGUUCUCAGGGCUAUCAUGUUCCUCACUAUGUAGGCAAUUCACACUGGUGAAUUCCUAACUCCUCAGUCAAAACAAAUUCCUCAGAGACUAGAAGAACUUCAUCUCUGUCACUGAAGAAUAUGACUGAACUGUAUGAGAUUUCCAAUGGCUUCACUCGAAGGGAUUGGUAGGUGUAGGAUUUUGAGUUGAGCAUCACAUGGAAAUUUUUCCUUAGUAUUUCCCCGACCCCCUUUAAUAGUACGGUGUUUCCUAUGACUCGAGAAAUAGAAAAUGAAACUAUGAAAACAAAAGUCUUCACGCUUCAUAUUCCUCGGAUGAAUACCAAGUCUUCAAGGUCACACCAAUUUCUUCACUUUCAAAGUCUUCAGAAAGUCUUCAGAUAUCCAAAGUCUUCAGACGAAGAACUUCAUUUUUAGGGGUCGACUUUCUCUGUAAAUAUCAAACUCCACAUAGACUUAUAGGCCUGUGUACACUCACAAAAGCAUCAGUCCCUUAACCUAUAAGUCUUCAAUACACCAAAAUCACUAAGGGGCACUAGAUGCACUUACAGUAUCAUUUCAUCCUGAUUACAAAAACAACAGCAUUUACUCCCCUCUCAACUACAUUUUUCCAAGUUUUAUCUGGUCAAGAUCACUCCCUUAUGCACAAACCACAUAAAAACCUUGAUUUUAAAUGACACCUUUUCCAGAUGUGCUGCGACCUAGGGAUCGGACCGGUGUUUAUCAAGUCUAUGUACAUAUAUUUCACCGAAAAGACUCCAGACACUAAAAGUUGCCAGUGCAAGGUAUCUGGCUCAUCAGAAAGGUUAACUUCCAUCAACCCGCGCACAAGAUGUAGCCAUCUAUCCCAUCGAUCGCCGACCAAAGCCUGCCUAAACUGAAUAUUUAGUGGAACGGAACAGAGAAUUGUACUAACAAGGGUUCCUUUACGUUGUACAAUGUUAUACAAGGUAGGGUACUGUAGUGCCAGAGGCGUCUCCCCCAGCCAAGUAUCCUCCCAAAAACUAGUAGUAUUUCCAUUCCCUACUAUAAACUUGCACCUAUUGAAAAAGGCUGCUUUCGACCUCAUUGACCCUUUCCAAAAAGGUGAGUCACUCGGCUGCGCAGUGACCUGUGCAAGAGUUUUGGAUUGUAGAUACUUGUUACACAAUAACUGUAACCAAACCCCACCCUUCUCGACAUAAAGACUAUAUAACCAUUUACUCAGCAGACACCUAUUCUUUACUUCAAGAUUUUGGAUGCCUAAGCCUCCUUGGUCCUUUGGCCUACAAAUGAUAUCCCAUUUGGCUAAACGGUAUUUUGUUUUUCUCUCGUGGCUUUGCCAAAAGAAGCGAGAUCGAUAGAAGCCCAAUCUCAUGGCUUUUAUUUUGUUUUGUUCUCAUGGCUUGGACGAAUGUCAAAGAAGGAUAAUAGGAACAUAGGCAAGCUUGUGAGUACAUAAUUAACAAGGAUUACUGAUCUCCAUAAGACAUAAGCUUGCCCUUCCAGCAACUUAGUUUCUUCUCAAAUCUAUCUUUCCACUCCUUGUUUGUGAGUUGGCGGUGGUAAAUUUGUAUUCCCAGAUAACUAAAAGGGAGGGACCUCAACUCACACCCGAACAACUACCGUAGUCUUCCUGCUCAUCCUUGGUGCGCCCAAAGUAAAUAAGUUCAUUCUUGUUGAAGUUAAUCUUCAAUCCAGACAGUUGUUCAAAAAGACAUAGGACCAAUUUCAGGUUUCUAGCCUUUGCCAUAUCAUGUUCCAUGAAAAUAACAGUAUCGUCCAUAUAUUGCAGGAUGGACACUCCACCAUCAACAAGAUGAGGAAUGAGCCCACCCACCUGGUCGACCUCCUUGGCUCUAGCAAUAAGAACUGCUAGCAUAUCUGCAACCAUGUUAAAAAGUAUAGGAGACACCGGAUCACCCUGUCUCAAUCCCUUUUGCAUCUGGAAAUAAUGACCUAUGUCAUCAUUAACCUUUAGAAAAAGCACCAGACAUUAACGAUAGGAGACAUCGGCUUCAACCAAGGUGAGUGUUGUCAGGCAAGUUCCUCGCCGGCGAGCGCCACAAACAAUGUCAUCGGAUUCCAACGCCCACACGGUUAUGCCAGGGAAGUUCCUCGCUGCCUUGCAGACAACGGCUUGCACCCUCUUAUCCUAGCAAAUAUGUCGCGAGUUAUACAAGUUGAUGGCCCCAGAAGCAACCUCUCUGGUCGUGCCUAGAAUGUUAAGCAACCAACUAUCAAAGUUAGAUGACCCCGUGGGGGCCUCCACAACGGUGUGUUCCUGUGCCUCGUCCUGACGAUCCUCCUCUCUCCUGGCACGCUCUGUCAAAGGCAACUCCGAACCCAUGACGACGAUCAUCUGGUCUCAGACAUCCUCGUCGGCGGUGGUAUGGCAAUUGACACUCGGCUCUGCCACAAUGACGGUUAUGGAUGUGCGGCGCCAUGGUGGUCAUUUUGGGGUCUAGAGCGAGCCACUAGUUCAAUAUACAAUUGCUGGAAUAACAUACUAGCUAGCCAACAACUUCUUGUGCUUGCGUUAGGGAGUUGGUUCUCUUGACUGAAAACUGAUUACAAUUGAACACUAAAUAGUGUCUGGUUUUUAAACCGAACCAAAUAGCCAGAAUCGGAUUUAGCCUAUAUUUUUUCAGUUAAAACGUUUGGUUAGGUUUCGGUUUUCGGUUUGAAAGUGGCCAACCCCAGAUGGGAGACGUGUCUCGCUGGCACGAGCUGUUCUUUUUGUCGGGGCCAGUGCUAGGCGCCGGCGCACCGGCCCAAAUUUGGGCCGGUCGGCUGCCGAACGUACGAUAGAGCUUUUUUUAACCAUAGGAUACAACCUUUCUCCGUCCCUCAAAAAGUCAAACGCGGAUGAAAAGCAGAUCGAGUGGAAAAAGAUAGCGAACUAGCUCAGCCACACUAGCCGCCGGACUCCGCACGCGCUCGCCGGCCGCCUGCACUUGUCCUCGGUUUCUCGUACUUGCCGGCCACCCGUGCCACCACGCCCGCCAGCCGCGCUCGCCGGUCGCUUGUGCCACGCUCGCAACAAAAACAGACUAUGGUUGUAGCAAAAAUAGAUUACAAUGGUAGCAAAAAUGCUCACCGUCGAUGCUCGCAACAAAAUUACCCCAAGGUAACUAUGAGUCAACGUCCCAAUGCAUCCUUUGAAAAAGUUGGUUCCAGCAAAAAAAACUACGGUGGUAGCAAAAGACGUUUCCAGCAAAAAUAAUCUCAGAAGAACAAAUCUGGAAAAAGGUCAAUUGUAGCAAACAAAAAAGCCAAUUCUAGCAAAAAAAACACUAGUUCCAGCAAAAACACUGCUAGUCGAUUGUAGCAAUAGAAAAAGCCAGUUCCAGCAAAAUUUGAUGAUGGUUCCAGCAAAAAAAUCUCAUCACCAAAUAUAUGUGUCGAUUGUAGCAAAGAAAAGAACUACUUCCAGCAAAAAUCUCUCUCGGAUGCAGCUCCUCGUCGCCGCGGUUGCAGCUCCAUGAACCUGGGGUUGUAAGUCAUGUCGCCGCCGGGAGCAUCAAGUCGUGGCACCUCGUCGCAGAAGCGAGGCCCCCAGUUGCAUCCACUGCCUGUCUCCGCGCGUAUGCGCUGCUCCUCUGCACGCGGCACCGAUGGUCGCCGAGGCCGGCGCCAAUGGUGGCCUUGUAGCACCCGUGGUAUUUGUCCCGCGUUGCCGCCGGUGACCGCAUCUGCAGCAGCCAAAAAGGUGGGUGGGGAGAAGAACGAGAGAGGAUAUGCAUCAUGUGUGAGAGAGAAAGGAGUGGCUGAGAAAUCUCCCCGUAUCUGGAAAUUCGCGGCCGCGGCGGCUCAGCGGGAAUCCCAGGCGUGGAAACCGUGGGUUUGCCGCCGCUGCGCUUGAGCCUGCCUUGCGUCACUCCGACGCCGGCGUCCACCCUCUCCCGGCGCUUGCCACUCCGGCCGCGCCGGCCACCCUCCCUCUCCCGGCACUCGCCUCGGCUGGGCCGGCCCCGUUCCGCCCUUCCCGCCAUGGACGGCAGUCCGCUUGCACACUCCACGACCGCGCGCCCCGUGGGGGAGCGUCCCGUGGUGUCCGGUCUUGGUCUCUCGUCCUGCUCGGAGUCGUCGGCCGCCCCGGUGGGGGCGGAGGCCUCGUCCUUGCCGCGGGCUGGGGAGGUGCCCUGGGUGCAUCCUCGCCCGUCCAGGCGCGCCAUGUGGCGUCGACGCCAUGACCCUUCUGCGCCUCCGCCGCAGGUCNNNNNNNNNNNNNNNNNNNNNNNNNNNNNNNNNNNNNNNNNNNNNNNNNNNNNNNNNNNNNNNNNNNNNNNNNNNNNNNNNNNNNNNNNNNNNNNNNNNNNNNNNNNNNNNNNNNNNNNNNNNNNNNNNNNNNNNNNNNNNNNNNNNNNNNNNNNNNNNNNNNNNNNNNNNNNNNNNNNNNNNNNNNNNNNNNNNNNNNNNNNNNNNNNNNNNNNNNNNNNNNNNNNNNNNNNNNNNNNNNNNNNNNNNNNNNNNNNNNNNNNNNNNNNNNNNNNNNNUCCAGGAUGGGCACUUCCGGAAGGACUGCACCAACGACAUCGUGUGCUUCAGAUGUGGUCUGUCUGGCCACGGCUCCAGGGACUGCAAGCGCCCCCGCAGUCCGGCGCCGCCGGAGGAGUUGAGGCGGAGGGUCGUGGCCAAGGUGUCGCGCCAGGGCGGCUGUGCUGCGCCUGCUGGCAGGGGCUCCGGUGGGCAGCCCGGAGGCCUUCCCGCGAGGCAUGGCGCGGGGUUCCCCGCUCCGCCGCCGCCUCCGCCGCCCUCCCCGCCGUCCUCUGCCCCGUCGACCUGGCCUCGCCUCCCGGCGCCGAGGCUGGUCCUUCCCCUGGAGUCGGAGUUCGAUCCUGCUGAUCUGUGCAUGGUGCGCCGUUCCCAGUCCAUGGAGGACAUGGAGCAGCGUAUGCAGCUGUCCAUGGUGGCGUACGCGGCUGGCGCGCGGCAGGAUAUCUCGCCGGAGUUCAUGUUGGAGGUCCUGCAGGCCAAGGCGGGCAUUGAGCCACAGUGGGUGUCGGUACAUCGCUUCCGGCCUGAGGAUUUCCUCAUCGUCUUCGCACGGCCCGAGCACAGGAGCCGGGUGUGCGCCAUGCCGUCUAUGGAUCAUCGUGGUGUUAGGAUGUUCUUCCGUCAGUGGAACCGGCAGGCUCAGACAGUUCACGCGGUGCUCCGGAGCAAGGUGUGGCUCGAGAUCGAGGGCGUUCCUCCCCAUGCUUGGGAGCGGGAGGUGGUGGAGCGUCUGCUGGGAUCGUCGUGCGUGGUCGAUGCAGUGGCGCCGGAGACGAGCUCCCGGGCUAACCUCUCGUCCUUCAAGCUUACGGCGUGGACGGCGGACCCGGAAACCAUCCCUACGCUCCGAUGGUUGGCGGUGCCGGAGCCUGGCCUGGGUCUGCAGCCCUCCCAGCCAGCGUUGCUGCAUUACAAGGUCCUCAUCCAUCUGGCGCAAGUUCAAGAUUUCACGGAAGCAGAGGAGCCAUGGUUCCUUGGAGGUUCUUCAUGCAGUGGGCAGAGUGGGAUGCCGGAUUCGGAUGGUAGCAUGGACGGAGGUGGUGGCGCUCCGGCUCGCCGGCGGACCUGGCAGUUCGGUGCUCGGGACGUCAGAGGUGGAGCGCAGGCGGGGCAUGGUGGUGGCCCGUCCAAGAGGGCUGGCGACGGUCGAGGGGGUGAGCCUGGCCGGAGUACGGCCGGCACGGCAUGGCGGCUGCCGGCCAUGGAGGAGUUGCCGAUGGUGGCACCGGUGGGCCAGUCGGCGCACGUCAGGGAUCGGAUUGCGGUCAGGCCCUCUGCUUUUGACCGGCUGACCAGGCUGGAGACACCAAGGCAGGAUCAGGUGGGACCCGCGGAACUUUCGUCAGAUGAUAGAGCUGUGGUGGUGGUAGUUGAUCAACGGUCUUCUCCGGCGGGCGAUGAGAUGGAGACAGGGGCCAGGGGCCUACAGGCGCAGCAGGGCCUGCACCAAUCGGCUGGCCUGGAAACGACUAGUCCAAGGCCACAGCUGGCUUCCAUGGUGGUGGGGCCGGCCGUGCAGGACCCAAUGGCACAGACGGGUGACGCCUGGGUUGGCGUGGGCCAACAGUUGGAUGCCCAGGGCGGGGAGAUCCCUAGGCCGGACUGCGAUCAGGGUGGGCCAAAGCCUAAUUGCGACGGCUAAUCGCAUGCCGUCCAGAACGGGGGGUCUCCGAGGCGGAUCCGCGUGAUGGUGGGGCCAGAGUUGGAGGGGGACAGGACCGCUGUCUCGGCUGAUAGGGGAGAUGUGGCGACGGCCGCUACGCGCCAGGCACGCCCUGCGGAGGCGGUUGCGAGGGACCCGGCUCAGGACAAUGAUUGUGGGACUCUUCCUACGAGGCUGGAGGUGGAAUAUUCUACACCUGCAUUGGAUCUUGCGAUCGUGCCAAGGACUGAUGGUAACCAUGCAUGCAUGGACACUGUUCACGUAGCGUCCGGGGAUUCCGCUGCAUGCAUGGGCGCGUCCCAACAGGAAACGGAGGGCAUGACAGCACAGGAAGUGGUGGCUUAUGGCAAGCUUAAGAGUUUCUGCACGAACAUUAUCAAGAAAUUGGCACCACCGCUGCUCCGUGAAGUCCAAGAAUCGCACCUACGAACGGAGGCGGAGCCGUUCACGCCAAAACGCACGACGCGCGCAUCCAAGAAGAUGGCAACUGCGAGCCGGUCCAAGGAUAGUCCAGUUGAGAAUGUGCUGCUGCAUGCUCUGGGUCUAGUUCCAGAUGACCUUGUGGUGGAUGAUGGGGUGGUAAAGGAGCUGAAGGCACUGUUCGAUUCCCCCCUUCGUGAGCAGCAUGUCAGGGUCAUCGCGGCUCUCUUCGGAAGACGGUGCCCAGUGAACAGGAGAUGAACGUGGAGAACGCGGUGGUGGUGUGUACGCGCUAAGCGGCCCGUGGUGGUGUUGGUGGUCGAUCCUUCAUGGAUUCACACCCACAUGUGUUGUGCUAGAAUGUACGUGGCCUCAACAAUCCAGCCAAGAGGAAGGCCGUUAGCGAGUUCAUUAGCUCAGUUAAGGUGAACUUGGUGUGUCUCCAAGAGACUAAAAUGGAUGUAAUGGAUCAGUUUACUGUGAUGCAAUGCUUGGGGCCAUCUUUUGAUGGUUUCUCCUACCUGCCGGCUGAGGAGACUAGAGGGGGAUCCUUAUCGCGUGGAACACCUCGGCUCUAUGGGUGGAUAACUUAGUCCCCAAUGCCAAUUUUAUUUUGGGGUUGGUGCAUACCAGGGAGGGACAACCUUGGUGGAUCUCGGUGGUGUAUGGACCGCAGAGUGAUGAGCUGAAGACGCAAUUCUUGGAGGAUUUGAGGGCUAGGAGGCUGUUGUGCCAAGGACCAUGGAUGAUUUUGGGGGACUUUAACAUGAUCCUUCGCGCCUCUGAGAAAAACAACUCUAACGUCAACCGGACCAUGAUGGGGAAGUUCAGGGAUUUUGUUGACGACCACGAGCUCAAGGAGAUGUACAUGCACGGCAGGAGGUUCACGUGGUCGAAUGAGCGAGACACGCCCACGUUUACUAAGAUUGACAGGAUCCUUAUAUCCGUUGAUUGGGAGUUGGAAAAUGCAGAAUACCUCCUCCAGGCGCUCUCCACGGGAGUCUCUGAUCACGCGCUGCUGUUGCUUACUACGAGUGUGGGAUUCUGCCCCAAACGCAGGUUCCGGUUUGAGCUUUUUUGGACUAGGUUGGAUGGGUUUGAGGAGGCGGUGCAGGAGGCUUGGGUGUGCGACCCCGCGAUCAUGGAUUCGUACGCCAGACUGGAUGCACUGAUGAGGAAUGCGGCUGCAUCGCUUCAGGCUUGGGGUCAGCGCAAGAUUGGUAACGUCAAACUCCUAAUGCGGGUGGCCACUUGGGUGAUUCAUAAGCUGGAUGUUGCACAAGAAUGAAGAAGGCUGGAGCUGAGAGAGAUUUGGUUGCGUCGCACGCUGAAACAAGCUCUGCUUGGCAUGGCAGCCCUGGAACGCACUAUUGACAGGCAGCGCUCGAGAAUGAGAUGGCUCAAGGAGGGUGACGCAAACUCCAAAUUGUUCCAGGCGGUGGCCAAUGGAGGCAGGUCAAAGAACUAUAUUUCGCGUAUCAGAGUUGGAGAGCAGAUCAUUGUGGAGCAAGAGAACAUGGAGGAUGCCUUCUUCCAUGCGUAUAAGCAGUUGCUUGGUACGGCCCAAGCUAGGGAGCACACCCUGGAUCUCCAAUUCAUGGGGAUCGCCCCUCACGAUCUUCAGGAGCUGGAAGCCAUGAUUACGGAGCAGGAGGUUUGCGAGACUGUAAAGGAGAUGCCACCUGACCGUGCGCCGGGGCCGGAUGGGUUCAUUGCCGCUUUCUAUCAGCGGGCCUGGCCUAUCAUCAAGCAUGAUGUUAUGGCGGUUAUGAUGAAGCUUUAUGUUGCGGAUGGUAGGGGCUUUGCUAAGCUGAACAAGGCACAUAUCGUUCUCAUUCCUAAGAAGCCAGAGGCAGAGGAGAUUGGAGACUUUCGGCCUAUUAGUCUUACACACAGCGCCCCCAAGCUAUUUGCAAAGGUUCUCGCUAACAGGCUUCGAAAAUGCAUGCCGGAGAUCGUGGGCAUGAACCAGUCGGCAUUCAUUAAAGGACGGCACCUGCACGAUAACUUCCUCCUUGUGAGGCAAGUGGCCAGGAAAAUUCACGAUCGCAGGGCGCCAGGGGUGCUCCUCAAGCUGGAUAUCUCGAGGGCCUUUGAUUCCUUAUCGUGGCCCUUCCUCUUUGAGGUCCUGGAAGCUAAAGGGUUUGGGAGAAGAUGGUUGCAAUGGUUGGCGAUUCUGCUGCACUCGGCGAGCACCAAAGUUAUUGUCAAUGGCGUGCCAGGUCGGAGGUUCUACCACGCUAAGGGUUUGCGCCAGGGCGACUCGAUCUCCCCGCUUUUGUUCGUCAUCGCCAUGGACGUGCUGACAUCGUUGGUUCAUAAGGCAAUGGAGCUUGGAGUGGUGAGCUCAUAUCGUGGGAUCUCGGCAAUGCAACGGAUCUCUAUUUACGCGGACGAUGUGGCCAUCUUCAUUAAGCCCACCACCACAGAUCUGGUGUUCAUCACCGCGGGGUUGGAGAUAUUCGGUCAGGCCUCAGGAUUGCGUGUUAACUAUCGUAAGUCGUCGGCUAUUUUGAUCUGUGGUGAUGUUGUGGACAGUGCCAGAGUGGCCAGAGUUCUACAAUGUGGCAUUACGGAGUUCCCCUGCAGGUACCUGGGGCUGCAGCUCACCAUCAGAUGCCUCACCAGAAGCGACUGGCAACCCAUGCUUGACAAAGUUAAACUUUUCGUGUCGGGCUGGCAGAGAGGGCUUAUUCAGCGCCCAGGACGGCUUAUUCUUGUGCAAUCGGUGAUCUCCGCCAAGCCAAUUCAUCACCUUAUGAUUAUGGAUGCUCCUGACUGGGUGUUUGAGGAGAUGGACAAGUGGAUGCGCUCCUUCUUCUGGGCCGGGAAGGACAAGGUGAAUGGAGGCCAAUGCCUCAUUGCUUGGAGUAAUGUAUGUCGACCCAAAUGCUAUGGUGGCCUUGGUGUGAAGAACCUCAAGCUACAAGGGCUAGCUAUGAGGGUUAGAUGGGAAUGGUUAAGACGGACAGAGCCCAACAGGCCUUGGCAGGGGCUGUCCAUGACCACGGAUCUGGAGGCUCGUGAGGUCUUUGAUAGUCUGGUGGGCAUCGAAGUGGGGAGAGGCGAUCGGGUGCUUUUUUGGAGGGAUCGUUGGAUCCACGGUUUUGCAGUUAAGCACAUUGCCCCGCUUGUGUUCGCCAUGGUGCCGACUCGAGUAAUCAACAAACACACGAUUGAGCAGGCUCUCACCGACAGCAGCUGGUUGGAGGACUGCCAGAUGGGAUUUUCUUUCAUGGCCCAGCUUCAGCUGAUGCAUCAUCCAGGCCAUUGGCACGGUACCUAGGGAUGCGGAGAGCUUGGAUGUGUUCACCUGGCCUUGUUCCAGCUCGGGCUCAUACUCUGCCAGAUCGACUUAUGCCAGACUUUGCGUGGGUCACACCAGGUCGCCCUUCGCGACAUGCGUUUGGAGGAGCUGGGCACCUCUGAAGUGCAAAAUUUUUGCCUGGCUUGCUCUGCAGCACCGCAUCUGGACCUCUGAUCGGAGGGCACGUCACGGCUUACAGGACGAAACAUCUGCUUGCUACACCUGCUUACAAGAUGAAGACAAUGCCGACCAUAUCCUAGGCGCUUGCACCUAUGCACGGGAGGUUUGGCACAGGCUCUGGGACCUUCUCGGGAUUAACGUACCAGGACACGUGGCUGGUGAAACGAUUCUAGACUGGUGGCUUAGGGCAAGGAAGGUCUUUCACUCUGCAGAUCGGAGGGGGUUUGACUCCACUUUCAUCGCGAUGAUCUGGGCGCUAUGGAAACAACGGAAUGCACGGGUCUUCAAUAGGUUAGAGCAACAACGUACCCCAACAGAGCUUGUGUUGAUGUUGCUAGAUGAGGUUGCCGAGUGGAAGGCAGCCGGGUUGGGUGUAGGAGGACUCCAACGAUUUGUGAGGAGUUAGUAUAGGGUCCUAGGCUGGUGUGGGUGUUGGUUUGUAUCUGUGCUACACGUUUGUUCACAUUCGUGGCGCACGUCAUGUAAUAAUUUCUCUCCUUCUAUAAAAAUAUGGUACGUCUUUGGCGUACUUUCAAAAAAAAAAUCUCCCCGUGAAGAGAUAAGAUAAGGUCCAGGCAAAGCGGUGGGCAGUUAUCGGAGCAAUAAGGACGGUUGAUUUGCAUCUGAUCUAACGACGCGCGCUCGGCCGGCCGAACUUUCGGCCGGCGUGCCGGUUUCAAACGUUUCCUUUUGUCGGGGAAAAAGAGUGAUCGGACAGUCAAACACGGCAGAUUGUGUGGUGUGGGAGGCGACGGAUCGGUCGACCGACGCCUAGUACCUGCCUUCGCCGAAUAGGGCGCGCAGGCGGAGGGUGUAGGGGUACAAGGCGCCGCCGGCCGAGGGCAUGCUUUGGCCCAGACCGGCGUCAGCACGGGCUCGGCCGAAGCAUCACGGGCAGCCGUCCUGCCGGCCCGCCUCCAGCCCCCGACUGAAAGACAAAGGAGUGUCCUGCUCUUCCAAGGUUCAAAUGGCAUGGUGUCACUGUCCGACUCCCGAGCCGAGACGAAGCUGCCAAGCGCCAGUUAAGGCGGAAGAAAAAGAGGCAUCCCCCGAUGCGAAUGUGCCGGCACAGGGGGAGGUCCUGCCUUCCCAGGAUACUUCGCCCCAGGUUCCACCAAUCCUCACUGUUCGCCUCCCCUUGACUCUUGAUUGAUUUUUCUCAGCUCACGAUUCGGUUCCAAGAUAGCAAUAUAGUCCAGUUGCACAUGGUGGCUUUUGUAUGAUUAGCACUGCCGCGCUGAUGCAUAUGUAUAGUUGGGGAAUUUAGUUGAAUUUCGAGAUCUUUAGCUGUUUCGUGCCUAGAACAGAACAGGGGGAGGGGGGUUUGGGGGAGAAUGUCUGGUGGGCUCAAGAACAAGAAGAAGAAGGGCCACGAGUGGGAUUUGAACGACUGGAGAUGGGACGGCAACCUCUUCCUGGCCACGCCGUCGCCAAACGCGGACGCUCCGUCAGGGUGCGGCAGCAGGGAGCUUGGGCUAGCAGAGGAGGGGGGCAGUUUUGGUGCUGCUGCUGCUGACAAGAGGAGGAGGAGGAAGAGAGUCACCACAGUGGAUAACCCCGAGGAGUGCAGCAACACUGCGAUUCUUCAUCAUGAAAGGAUUGCUGUUCGGAGAGGACAGAUGGGCGAAGAAGAGGGACCUGCCAGUGCAACAGCAGGUGCAUCUUCCAGCUCUGCUCCAUCUUGCCAAGUCGACGGCUGCCACGCGGACCUCGGCGACGAUAGGGACUACCACAGGAGGCACAAGGUGUGCGAACCGCAUACCAAGUCGACUCUUGUUCGUAUCAAAAACAUCGAGCAUCGGUUUUGCCAGCAGUGCAGCAGGUUAGUCAGCAAUUAAUUUCUUCAUGCCUAAACUUUUAAUGGUGUAAAGGGGAAGAAUCAUUUGACAUUUGUCUCUAGGUUUCACCUUGUUCAAGAAUUUGAUGAAGGGAAGAAGAGCUGCCGCUCACGUCUGGCAACACAUAAUAGAAGGAGGAGGAAAGCCCCAGCUGAGGCUGUUAAUUCCUUGGGUGAAAAUCAGUCCUUAACCAACACCUUACUCCUCUUGUUGAGACAACUCGCUGGACAAGAUUGUAAGUUUCUCGGAUCGUAUGUACGGCGCAGUGCUAUACAUUGAUUUUUACUGGUUCAUAUGCGAUCGAUCGAUCCAUGCUCAUAUAACCUCAGUGUUAUGUCUUCGCAGCUGCUGCUAGCUCAUCUGAGCAAAUCAAUGGUCCCAAUCUUUUGGUUAGUCUUUUGAAGAACCUUGCUGCUGUUGCUGGCACACAGGCAUGUCAAGAUAUGCUAAAGGAUGCAACCUCAUCAAAUGCUGGUAACUAUGUUGGGAAUCAAAGUGGACCACCAGUUCAUGCAGGUAAAUAGCCCUUUGAUUAACUGCUGCUGCUGCUGUUGCACAAGGCAAAUAAGUACACAUUCUGAAAUUAAAUGAUGUGUGGACCACUUGACAUGUGUCCUCAGAAGAGCCUCCUGUGAAAAGACGUGCGCAAAAUUUUGAUCUAAAUGAUGCUUAUGUCGAGGAAGAUGAGGUACAUUAUUUAGGUUGAUUCUCUUGGGUUUUCCUGCUGACUAAUUGCGUCUCAGCUGCAGCACCCCUGAUGCCCCAAAACAUUUGCAGAGCCGAACAGAUAAAAUUGUCUUCAAGCUUUUUGGUAAACAGCCAAAUGAUUUUCCUGCGGAUCUACGUGCACAGGUCAUUUACCAUAUGCAAAUUGGGAAUAGUGCCUCUCUUUGACAACUUUAUCUCUUCAUUUUUUUUGACUAUUUAUUUCUUCAAGUUUUUGGUUCAAAUUGUUUUUUAUUUGCAGAUCCUAAACUGGCUGUCACAUUAUCCUAGUGACAUGGAGAGCUAUAUCAGGCCUGGUUGUGUAAUUCUAACUAUUUACCUUCGUCUUCCUAACUGGAUGUGGGAUAAGGUAGCGCUGCUAAUACUAGCGUUCUAAACAUGCUUAUCUGUUACCAAGUGAAUAAACUGCUUACGAAUUCAAAUAGCAAAACCUAAAUUAUGAACCUUGGAUAGAUAAGCAUAAUCCUCACUUACUGUUAUUUUUCUUUUGUCUGAAUUCCUCUAAAGCUUAAUGUCGAUCCAGCUCCUUGGAUAGAAAAUCUCAUUAGCAUAUCCACAAAUGGUUUCUGGGAGACAGGAUGGCUGUAUGCUAGGGUGCAGGACCGCCUCACAUUAAGCUGCAAUGGUUUGUUCGCCUUAUUUCUCUCUUUAUAUUACACCCUUGUUCUUUUUCUAUUUUUAUAUGUGGUUUCCCUUUCUUUGCAGGCAGGCUUAUGUUAGUGUCUCCCUGGCAACCUGUAAUAGGUGACAAGCAUCAGAUACUGUGUGUAACUCCUAUUGCGGCUGCCUAUAAUUCGACGGCAAAGUUCUCAGUGAGAGGCUUCAACAUAGUUCAACCAACCACAAAGUAGGUACCACGCAUUAGUCUGCACUCUGCACUGACCUGACCUGGAUUUUAUCUGACUGACAAUAAUGAUGAUAUUCGUUACAGAUUACUCUGUAUAUUUGAUGGGAAAUAUUUAGUCCAAGAAGCAACACAAAAACUACAUGAUGAUACUAGGAUUCAGCAAGGCCCUAAAUGUCUGACCUUUUCUUGCUCCUUCCCUAGUACAAGUGGAAGGGGGUUCAUAGAGGUGAAUUAUCCCUUUGGUGUUCUUUCAGUUGUUUCUCUUUAUGCAUGCUCAUUUCCCUUUUUAAAUUACGUAAUUUCUUGAUUCCUUUUCCAGGUUGAAGAUUAUGAUCAGAGCAGCAUUUGCUUCCCCUUUGUUGUCGCCAAAGAAUCUAUAUGUUGUGAGAUUAGAAUGUUGGAGGAAAAACUGAAUAUAAUUGCAUUUGGUGAUGCCUUGGAAGGAAGAGAAGAUCUGAUGGCUUCUCGCAGCCAAGCCUUAAAGUUUCUACAUGAAAUAGGGUGGCUUCUCCAAAGGAGCGACACACGAGCUACAUCAUCCAAGGCUCCGCAACAACAUCAUGCGGUGGGCUUUUCUGCUGCAAGAUUUAGGUGGCUCCUGUCCUUUGCGGUUGAUCAGGAAUGGUGCGGCGUGGUAAAGAUGCUGCUGGACACCUUGUUCCAGGGCAAUAUCGAUGUCGCCUCACCAGUUGAGUUUGUCCUGGGAGAGAGCUUAGUAUUCGCAGCUGUCAACAAGCGGUCGAAGCCUUUGGUUGCCUGCCUAUUGAGAUACACAACGAAAUCUGCACCGGUGGGCGGUGGAGCCGUGGCCACACCAGCCCAGUUCUUGUUCACGCCUGACAUGAUUGGUCCAUCGGAUAUUACACCUCUCCAUGUUGCAGCUACCAUCACUAAUGCUGCUGCCGUUUUGGAUGCUCUGACUGAUGAUCCCCAACAGGUACUUGCACUGAACUCUCAUGCUAAUUUUUUUUCCUGAAUUGAUAAAUUUUCCACAGCUACAACAACAACAAAAAAAAAC
rnacentral:lncRNA from 1 species